rnacentral:rRNA from 1 species
AGAGUUUGAUCCUGGCUCAGGAUGAACGCUGGCGGCGUGCUUAACACAUGCAAGUCGAGCGAAGCGUAUUAGCGGAAGUUUUCGGAUGGAAGCGGAUAUGACUUAGCGGCGGACGGGUGAGUAACGCGUGGAUAACCUGCCUCAUACAGGGGGAUAACAGUUAGAAAUGACUGCUAAUACCGCAUAAGCGCACAGGACCGCAUGGUCCGGUGUGAAAAACUCCGGGGGGAUGGGAUGGAUCCGAGUCUGAUUAGCUGGUUGGUGAGGUAACGGCCCACCAAGGCGACGAUCAGUAGCCGACCUGAGAGGGUGGCCGGCCACAUUGGGACUGAGACACGGCCCAAAUUCCUACGGGAGGCAGCAGUGGGGAAUAUUGCACAAUGGGGGAAACCCUGAUGCAGCAACGCCGCGUGAGUGAAGAAGUAUUUCGGUAUGUAAAGCUCUAUCAGCAGGGAAGAAGAAAGACGGUACCUGACUAAGAAGCCCCGGCUAACUACGUGCCAGCAGCCGCGGUAAUACGUAGGGGGCAAGCGUUAUCUGGAUUUACUGGGUGUAAAGGGAGCGUAGACGGCUGUGCAAGUUUGAAGUGAAAUUCCGGGGCUCAACCCCGGAACUGCUUUGGAAACUGUACAGCUAGAGUGCAGGAGGGGUGAGUGGAAUUCCUAGUGUAGCGGUGAAAUGCGUAGAUAUUAGGAGGAACACCGGUGGCGAAGGCGGCUCACUGGACUGUAACUGACGUUGAGGCUCGAAAGCGUGGGGAGCAAACAGGAUUAGAUACCCUGGUAGUCCACGCCGUAAAC